rnacentral:rRNA from 1 species
GAAGGGCGCUUGCGGCGUGCUUAACACAUGCAAGUCGAACGGAAAGGCCCUGCUUUUGUGGGGUGCUCGAGUGGCGAACGGAUGAGUAACACGUGAGUAACCUGCCCUUGACUUUGGGAUAACUUCAGGAAACUGGGGCUAAUACCGGAUAGGAGCUCCUGCUGCAUGGUGGGGGUUGGAAAGUUUCGGCGGAUGGGCAUGGACUCGCGGCUUAUCAGCUUGUUGGUGGGGUAGUGGCUUACCAAGGCUUUGACGGGUAGCCGGCCUGAGAGGGUGACCGGCCACAUUGGGACCUGAGAUACGGCCCAGACUCCUACGGGAGGCAGCAGUGGGGAAUAUUGCACAAUGGGCGGAAGCCUGAUGCAGCAACGCCGCGUGCGGGAUGACGGCCUUCGGGUUGUAAACCGCUUUCGCCUGUGACGAAGCGUGAGUGACGGUAAUGGGUAAAGAGGCACCGGAUAACUACGUGCCAGCAGCCGCGGUGAUACGUAGGGUGCGAGCGUUGUCCGGAUUUAUUGGGCGUAAAGGGCUCGUAGGUGGUUGAUCGCGUCGGAAGUGUAAUCUUGGGGCUUAACCCUGAGCGUGCUUUCGAUACGGGUUGACUUGAGGAAGGUAGGGGAGAAUGGAAUUCCUGGUGGAGCGGUGGAAUGCGCAGAUAUCAGGAGGAACACCAGUGGCGAAGGCGGUUCUCUGGGCCUUUCCUGACGCUGAGGAGCGAAAGCGUGGGGAGCGAACAGGCUUAGAUACCCUGGUAGUCCACGCUG